AUUGAACGCUGGCGGAAUGCUUUACACAUGCAAGUCGAGCGGCAGCGCGGGGGCAACCCUGGCGGCGAGCGGCGAACGGGUGAGUAACAUAUCGGAACGUACCCCGUCGUGGGGGAUAACACAGCGAAAGCUGUGCUAAUACCGCAUACGACCUGAGGGUGAAAGCGGGGGAUCGCAAGACCUCGCGCGAUGGGAGCGGCCGAUAUCGGAUUAGCUUGUUGGUGAGGUAAAGGCUCACCAAGGCGACGAUCCGUAGCUGGUCUGAGAGGACGACCAGCCACACUGGAACUGAGACACGGUCCAGACUCCUACGGGAGGCAGCAGUGGGGAAUUUUGGACAAUGGGGGCAACCCUGAUCCAGCCAUUCCGCGUGAGUGAAGAA
rnacentral:rRNA from 1 species